UACAGAGGGGGCAAGCGUUAUUCGGAAUUAUUGGGCGUAAAGGGCGCGUAGGCGGCCUGGCAAGUGGAAGGUGAAAUCCCUCGGCUUAACCGAGGAACUGCCCUCCAAACUGCUUGGCUUGAGUCCGGGAGAGGUGAGUGGAAUUCCCAGUGUAGCGGUGAAAUGCGCAGAUAUCAGGAGGAACACCAAUGGCGAAGGCAGCUCGCUGGGACGGUACUGACGCUGAGACGCGAAAGCGUGGGGAGCAAACAGG
rnacentral:rRNA from 1 species